ACAGGUGUCUGCCACUACAUCUGGCCAGCUUAAGUACAACAUUUAUUAACCAGUAUUGUGUUCUUGAGUGAUUGUUUUUUUCCUCCCUCUCCACUUUAUUUCUUCCAGCUUCAUCCUGGUUGCCUGUUAGAAUCACCUGGGGAGCUUUUAAAAUCCCAGUGAUCAAGUGCCCCUCAGACCUCUUAGCCGAGGAAUUCUGGGGGCGGGGCCCAGCAUCAGUGUUUUUUCAAGCCCUUCCAGGUGACUUCAAUGCACAGGCAGCGAGAACUCCUGCAUGAAGGCUUCUGGAGAAGUAGGAAGGCUUAGAAUGUCGCUCACUCAUCUUUCACUUCCUGUAGCAACUGUUUCGUGCUCUUAAGUCUGGUGCGUCCAUGUCUGUCUGCACCUGGAUGGCAUCGCCUCUCCAUCUCGAGGACGCCAUCUGGAGGGGGCAGGGCAGGGUGGCUGAUCCCCUGCAGGCCCCAGCCCUGUGACUCAGCCACCAAAGCCCAAUCUCCAGCCCAAGGGAACCAAGGGUAUCUUCUUCAUCAUCCUUCCAGUCCUCUUCCCCUUCGCCGGGCUCCAGCCUCAGCUUGGCCCUCACCUCCACUCCUCUCCCCUCUCACCCCUGCCCCCAUUCCACUUCAUCUCCCUCCCUCACCUUAGGGCACCUCUGCCUGCUCCUUAUGCUGGAGUUGAUUUUCUACAAUCUCAACUCAGCCAAGAGAUCUCAUCACCUAAAAAAGUGAUGUGAACCUUAAGAUCACAUAUGUCAUAUGGGGGUGAAGGUGGGGGUGGGAGGCACUAAGGGCAGGGCAGCAGGUGGGUCAGCCCCAGGUGCUGGCAAUAGAUGGGGGUCCAGGUCAGCAGAGAACCUAAAAACAAUAAAGCAACUGAUUAGCCCGUCUCUUUAUUGUAAAACCCUGUGCUGGCAAUCCUAAACAAUGUUGGUGAUAAAAUGUUCCUCUCUCAAAAUCUUUUAGUUAGGAUCUAAGUUUUAUAUAAUUGCUUAGGUCAUUGUUGAGAGUUUCUUUCUUUCUUUCUUUCUUUCUUUCUUUCUUCCUUCUCU
rnacentral:lncRNA from 1 species